CCAGAUAAGACAGCUGAAUGAUAGUCGGGCUGAAGACUCUACUUGACUAGCUGAGAGGAGGUGCAUGGCCGUCGUCAGUUCGUACUGUGAAGCAUCCUGUUAAGUCAGGCAACGAGCGAGACCCACGCCAACAGUUGCCAGCUCGUCCUCCGGGAUGGUGGGGACACUGUUGGGACCGCCUCUGCUAAAGAGGAGGAAGGAAUGGGCAACGGUAGGUCAGCAUGCCCCGAAUUAUCUGGGCUACACGCGGGCUACAAUGGGUGGGACAAUGGGUAUCGACACCGAAAGGUGAAGGCAAUCUCCUAAACCCAUCCGUAGUUCGGAUUGUGGGCUGCAACUCGCCCACAUGAAGCUGGAAUCUGUAGUAAUCGUGUCUCAAAAUGGCACGGUGAAUAUGUCCCUGCUCCUU
rnacentral:rRNA from 1 species